CUUAAGACAUGCAAGUCGAACGAAGUGGCCCAAUGAAGAUGGAGUGCUUGCACAAAGUCAGAUUUGGAUUCCCACUUAGUGGCGCAAGGGUGAGUAACACGUGGGUAAUCUGCCUUCGAGACUGGAAUAACAGUUAGAAAUGAUUGCUAAUGCCGGAUGAUAUACACGAGGUAAACUUGUGUAUUAAAAGAGGCCUUUAAAGCCUCGCUUGAAGAUGAGCCCGCGCCGUAUUAGCUAGUUGGUAAGGUAAUGGCUUACCAAGGCAACGAUGCGUAGCCGACCUGAGAGGGUGAUCGGCCACACUGGGACUGAGACACGGCCCAGACUCCUACGGGAGACAGCAGUUAGGAAUAUUCGUCAAUGGAGGAAACUCUGAACGAGCAAUGCCGCGUGAAGGAUGACGGUCCUAUGGAUUGUAAACUUCUGUUGUUAGGGAAGAACGACUUAAGUAGGAAAUGACUUAAGAGUGACGGUACCUUUCAAGAAAGCUCCGGCUAACUACGUGCCAGCAGCCGCGGUAA
rnacentral:rRNA from 1 species